rnacentral:rRNA from 1 species
GAUCUCAAAUCAGGUAGGACUACCCGCUGAACUUAAGCAUAUCAAUAAGCGGAGGAAAAGAAACUAACAAGGAUUCCCCUAGUAACUGCGAGUGAAGCGGGAAGAGCUCAAAUUUAAAAUCUGGCGCGCCUAUGGCCGUCCGAGUUGUAGUCUGGAGAAGCGUUUUCCGUGUUGGACCGUGUAUAAGUCUCUUGGAACAGGGCGUCAUAGAGGGUGAGAAUCCCGUCUUUGACACGGACUACCAAUGCUUUGUGAUGCGCUCUCAAAGAGUCGAGUUGUUUGGGAAUGCAGCUCAAAAUGGGUGGUAAAUUCCAUCUAAAGCUAAAUAUAGGCGAGAGACCGAUAGCGAACAAGUACCGUGAGGGAAAGAUGAAAAGCACUUUGGAAAGAGAGUUAAACAGUACGUGAAAUUGCUGAAAGGGAAACGCUUGAAGUCAGUCACGUCUGCCAGGACUCAGCCUUGCUUCUGCUUGGUGUACUUUCUGGUUUGAUGGGCCAACAUCAAUUUUGACCGUCGGAGAAAGGCAUUGGGAAUGUGGCACCUUCGGGUGUGUUAUAGCCCUUUGUUGUAUACGACGGCUGGGAUUGAGGACUGCAGCACGCCUUCAUGGCCGGGGUCGCCCACGUACGUGCUU